AUUCCACACAGCAUAAAUAUAAUGUCUUGAGGAUGUUAUAAAAAGUGUUUUGGGGAAGAACUUCACACAGCUGUCUCCCUCAAAAUGACUUCACCGAGUGGUGGCAUUUAAAUAGUUUAGC